UGGGGAAUAUUGCACAAUGGGCGCAAGCCUGAUGCAGCCAUGCCGCGUGUAUGAAGAAGGCCUUCGGGUUGUAAAGUACUUUCAGUCGGGAGGAAGGUGGUAAGGUUAAUAACCUUGGCAAUUGACGUUACCCGCAGAAGAAGCACCGGCUAACUCCGUGCCAGCAGCCGCGGUAAUACGGAGGGUGCAAGCGUUAAUCGGAAUUACUGGGCGUAAAGCGCACGCAGGCGGUUUGUUAAGUCAGAUGUGAAAUCCCCGGGCUCAACCUAGGAACUGCAUCUGAUACUGGCAAGCUUGAGUCUCGUAGAGGGGGGUAGAAUUCCAGGUGUAGCGGUGAAAUGCGUAGAGAUCUGGAGGAAUACCGGUGGCGAAGGCGGCCCCCUGGACGAAGACUGACGCUCAGGUGCGAAAGCGUGGGGAGCAAACAGG
rnacentral:rRNA from 1 species